CCUACGGGUGGCAGCAGUGGGGAAUAUUGGGCAAUGGAGGCAACUCUGACCCAGCAACGCCGCGUGAAUGAUGAAGGUCUUCGGAUUGUAAAGUUCUGUGAUGGGGGAUGAACACAAUGACGGUACCCCAAUAGCAAGCCACGGCUAACUACGUGCCAGCAGCCGCGGUAAUACGUAGGGGGCAAGCGUUAUCCGGAUUUACUGGGUGUAAAGGGAGCGUAGACGGCUAAUCAAGUCAGAAGUGAAAACCCAGGGCUCAACCUUGGGAGUGCUUUUGAAACUGAGUAGCUAGAGUGCAGGAGAGGUAAGCGGAAUUCCUAGUGUAGCGGUGAAAUGCGUAGAUAUUAGGAGGAACACCAGUGGCGAAGGCGGCUUACUGGACUGUAACUGACGUUGAGGCUCGAAAGCGUGGGGAGCAAACAGGAUUAGAUACCCUUGUAGUC
rnacentral:rRNA from 1 species